GAUCGCCGUGUGCGGUGAAAGUCGCCUGUAUGGUGAAGGCUCAUUAUAGAUUAUAUAAUUACUGAAAGUGAGAAUAGUCCUUUAAAGAGCAU
rnacentral:misc_RNA from 1 species